CAACAUGUGCUGACACCUAAGU
rnacentral:piRNA from 1 species